CUAGAGUCAUAGUGAUUCUGAUAUUGUUGUCUUCAUAUUCGUACUUUUACUUUGGAUUCGGAGACAUUUAGCUUUAUAUGAUUCUACCCCAAUCUGUCAUUCUCCAAACAUAACCGAUGGCAAAACUAUAAUCACACAGUUUUUCCCUCCAGCUUCUUAGUUUCCAGUCAUUAACAAAAAAGAAAGAAAGAAAGAAAAAUGUUAAAGGUACUGAGAAAAGUUCAGUGCUUACAGCUGGUUUCAGCAAUUUCAACUUGCGCAAGACCCCAUGUUUGUGAAAACAACCCAAGAAUCUUUGAACAGGAUGUAAUCAACCUCCGAUCUGCUGAGAAACGCUGCAAAAAUGACUUCAGUUGCCAAAAAUAAUAACGUCGUUUACAAGCAGCUCUUCCUAUGUCUAAGGAAGAACCAGCCACGCGUGCGAGUUUAUGCUGGCUUCAGACAAGCAAGCAAGGAAAAGGGCAAAUCCUUCCUCCCUCCCUUAAAAUACACAGUAUCGGAACCCGCGGGAAGCCGGAGCCCAUUUCAAAGGUAUUGGCAAUAUUGGCGGAGGUUCAUAUCCACAAAAAUCCAAACAAUUAUGUGAUUUGGUGCCUGGAAGUCAUUACUGGAAAUUUGGCUCUAAGUGAGCUGGCAGUAUCCAGGAAAAUGAUCUUGGGUAUACAGGUAAAUAGAAAUUAUAGCUCUUCAGUGACAGCAAGAGUCAUCAUGAUUUUUUUUUUAGAGUUGUUGAUGACUCAAAUACCACCGGUAAGUGUAAUAAAAUGCUUCAAAGUAUUUCUGUACUUGUGCAUUUGCAAUAAGGACAUAAAGAAACAAAUCUUAAAGUAA
rnacentral:lncRNA from 1 species